rnacentral:tRNA from 1 species
AGGGACUUAGGAUAAAUACGAGACCAAGGACCUUCAAAGCCCUAAGAGGGAGUGAAAAUCUCCCAGUCCCUG